rnacentral:misc_RNA from 1 species
UCCGGUUCAUCACCGGCAGUCUCCUUAGAGUCCCCAACUUAAUGCUGGCAACUAAGGACAAGGGUUGCGCUCGUUACGGGACUUAACCCAACAUCUCACAACACGAGCUGACGACAGCCAUGCAGCACCUGUCUCCAGGUUCCUUUCGGCACUCCCAAAUCUCUCUGGGAUUCCUAGGAUGUCAAGGGUAGGUAAGGUUCUUCGCGUUGCAUCGAAUUAAACCACAUGCUCCACCGCUUGUGCGGGCCCCCGUCAAUUUCUUUGAGUUUCAACCUUGCGGCCGUACUUCCCAGGCGGAUGACUUAUCGCGUUAGCUUCGAUACCGAAGGGUUCCCCCUCCAACAUCUAGUCAUCAUCGUUUACAGCGUGGACUAC